AGGAUGAGGAGAUGCCGGAGUACCGGGGCGCGCAGGGCUGGCGCGGGAACUGGGAAGGAUGAGGAGAUGCCGGAGCACCGGGGCGUGCGGGGCUGGCGUGGGAACCGGGAAGGACGAGGAGAUGCCAGGGCAUGUGGGGCUGGUGCAGGAACUGGGAAGGACGAGGAGAUGCCGGGAUGCACAGGGCUGGCGCGGGAACUGGGAAGGACGAGAUGCUGGAGCACCAGGGCACGCGGGGCUGGCGCGGGAACCGGGAAGGACGAGGAGGAGAUGCCGGGGYGCCGGCGGGUGGAAAGGCUGCGCUGGGGCUCGGGGAAGGCCUGGCGGCGGCGGCCGGCGGCCGGGUCUCCCCAUGGCUCUGCCAAACCCGCGGCGGCAAUUCCCGCGGUGACACCCGUCCCUCUGGGAGGAGGCCGCGCUCGCUGGGUGCCUCAGGCCGGCCCCUGCUGGAUGUCAAAGCGCGGCUUGCGGGCCACGAGCCUCCGCCUGGGCGGAAGGGAAAAUGCCCCCGCGCCCCCGCGCCCAGCGCCGGUGAAAGCUUUUCGGGCSGGAGGCGACGGUCUCGGCUGCGCUGCUCCAGGACGGCGUCUCCCUCGGGACGUCGAUGGGACGGCGGUCCCCUGGGGGAGGAGGGUGAUGCACAGCGGCUGUGAGUACAAGCGUGGGGGCACGUGGGGCGUCUGCGUGUGGUUUGGGGCUGCAGGGGGGGCAGCGGGGCCGGAUCGCCCCGAUGGUGCCCGAGGGGUGAGGGAGGUGCCCAGGGAACGGGGCGGCGCAGGGGGGAGAGGGGUGUCCCUGAGGGGGACGGGGGGAUGCUCGGGGUGCUCGGGGUGCCUGGGUGCAGGGAGGGGGGCGCCUGGGGGUACAGAAAUGGGGUGCAGGGGAUGUCAAACAGGUACAGGGCUGGGGGUGCCCAGGGGGAGCAGGGAUGGGGGUGCAGGGAUGCAGGGCCUCAGGGCUGCAGGGGUGCAGGGAUUGGGUUUGGGAUGUAGGUGUGCAGGGGCACAGGGAUGGGGUGCAAGGAUGCAGCAGUGGGGUUCAGGGGUGUGGGGGGUGCAGGGCAUCAGGGGUGCAGUGGUUCAGGAGUGCAAGGGUGUGGGGGUUCAGGGAUGGGGUGCAGGNNNNNNNNNNNNNNNNNNNNNNNNNNNNNNNN
rnacentral:lncRNA from 1 species